CACGUAGGGCGCAAGCGUUGUCCGGAAUUAUUGGGCGUAAAGAGCUCGUAGGUGGUUUGUUACGUCUGCUGUGAAAACCUAGGGCUUAACCCUGGGCUUGCAGUGGAUACGGGCAGACUAGAGGUAGGUAGGGGAGAAUGGAAUUUCUGGUGUAGCGGUGAAAUGCGCAGAUAUCAGGAGGAACACCGGUGGCGAAGGCGGUUCUCUGGGCCUUACCUGACACUGAGGAGCGAAAGCAUGGGGAGCGAACAGG
rnacentral:rRNA from 1 species